rnacentral:rRNA from 1 species
CCCGCUGAACUUAAGCAUAUCAGUAAGCGGAGGAAAAGAAAUUAACUAAGAUUGCCUCAGUAGCGGCGAGCGAAGUGGCAUAAGCUCAAACUUAAAAUCUGGGACCUUUGGUCUCCGAAUUGUAAUCUAAAGGGUAUGAUAAAAGGUUGGAUAGAGGAAUAAGUCUCCUGGAACGGAGCACCAAAGAGGGUGAAAGUCCCGUAUUUGUCCUCUUGAAAACCGAAUGUCUAACCUCAUAGAGUCGGGUUGUUUGGGAUUGCAGCCCUAAAUGGGAGAUAAACUUCUUCUAAGGCUAAAUAUUUAUGGGAAACCGAUAGCGAACAAGUACUGUGAAGGAAAGAUGAAAAGAACUUUGAAAAGAGGGUUAAAAGACUUGAAAUCGUUGAGAAGGAAGCGGUAGAAACGAAUUAAUUGUAUGUGAAGUAAGCAAGGUAGGUAUGAGUUUCAUGUUAUAAUGCACUUCAUAGGCUAGUGGCAUGAAAUAAUUAUACCUUCUUGUGAUUUCACAUGCAAAAGACAAAAUGAGAUACGAUUCACCGGAGUCAGUUGGAAGGACGACCGUAGUUUUCUGCGAGCCUUUUAACAAAACGGUUUACGUGUCUGAGGUUAGACGCCUGAUUUUGUCAAAAUGGUUUCUACUGACCCGUCUUGAAACACGG